rnacentral:rRNA from 1 species
GCUCAGAAACUUACAUGAAUUGACGGGGCCCGCACAAGCGGUGGAGUAUGUGGUUAAUUCGAUGCAACGCGAAGAACCUUACCUGGUCUUGACAUCCCGGAGACCCUUAGGAACUAGGGGUGCUUCCAUCUGGAAGAAUCUGGAGACAGGUGCUGCAUGGCUGUCGUCAGCUCGUGUCGUGAGAUGUUGGGUUAAGUCCCGCAACGAGCGCAACCCUUGCCUUUAGUUGCCAGCAGUUCGGCUGGGCACUCUAAAGGGACUGCCGGUGUUAAACCGGAGGAAGGUGGGGAUGACGUCAAGUCCUCAUGGCCUUUAUGACCAGGGCUACACACGUACUACAAUGGCCGAUACAAAGGGCAGCGACACUGCGAGGUGAAGCCAAUCCCGUAAAAUCGGUCUCAGUCCGGAUUGGAGUCUGCAACUCGACUCCAUGAAGUUGGAAUCGCUAGUAAUCGUGGAUCAGCAUGCCACGGUGAAUACGUUCCCGGGCCUU